rnacentral:lncRNA from 1 species
UCAUUUCAGGACCUUCUUACGUGUGAAGUUCGGAACUUUUCACCAUUUAGCGAGGAGUGUUGAUCGCAUGUAACAGGCAGCUGUCCAUAGUAUUUUGUUCUGAGAACUCCCCGGUAACGAACUCAGAAUUUAUUGAAACUUGAUAUAGGUCAGGUUCCUCAGUUGUUAACCACAAAGCCACAUUUUUUUGAGGAAUUUCUUGUUGAAUCCAUGCUUGAACAUUAUGCUUUCUGAACCUUUCCAACUCCAUUGCCACUUCUUUCAUUGUUGGCCUUUCCUCUCCAUUUAACUUGAGGCAUCUUUCGACAAGCUUAGCCGCUGCAUGAAGUUGCUCAAAACUCCCUUCCCUCAGAACUCUUGGGUUGAGAAUUUUGUACAGAUGAUUUUCUUUCACGGAUUGAACGAAAUAAGUGGCCAGGUUCCUUUCUUCUUCAGGUACUUCAAAAGAAAGGGAUUUCCUUCCUGUCAUUAACUCUGCUAGAACCACUCCAAAACUAUAAACAUCGCUUUUAUCUGUCAAUUUGCUUGUAUAGAAGUACUCUGGAUCCAGAUAACCUAAGGUUCCUUGGACUAGAGUUGUUACUUGUGUUUGGUCAAUAGGCACCAACCUCGAAGCUCCGAAAUCUGAUAUUUUUGCUGUGUAGUAAUCAUCUAACAAUAUAUUGGGAGAUUUGACAUCUCUAUGAAUAACUGGCAUUGCUGCUGCCGAAUGAAGAUAAGAUAAUGCACCAGCAGACUCUGCAGCGAUUCUCAAACGAUUUUCCCAAGAAAACCAAGGCAUUCUCUCACUGUUAUGGAUAUGGUAAAAGAGUGUGCCAUUGGAGACAUAUUCAUAAACCAACAAAGGAACUUCUGUCUCGAGACAACAUCCUAGUAGCUUCACCACGUUUCGAUGAUUGACUUGAGUCAAGAUAAUUACUUCAUUGAUAAAUUGUUCAAUUUGGUCCUGAUCCAUUAUUCUCGACUUUUUAAUUGCAACAAUACGUUUAUCACUCAAAAUUCCUUUAUAAACUAUUCCAUAACCACCACGGCCAAGGAUAUGAUCUUCAGCGUAGUUAUUUGUUGUGUGCUGUAGUUCUUCUGCAGAAAAGAUUUUAGCUGAUUCCAUACCACCCUCAUUUGAAGAAAGUUGCUGCUUCAAUAGCAAACCGCCAUUUUGUUGGAAGAAUUUCUCUCUCAGUUUAAUAAGCUUUCGUUUUUGAAUGCCAAAGUAUAGCCAAGUAACACCAAUUAUCAAAGUCAAGAAGCCAAAACCAAGACCUAAAAAUUUUUUGUUUGACACGCACAUUGAACUAAUUAGAACCUGAUCACGCUGAAUCCAACAAUUCACAGUAAUCAUAAUAAAGAUUAGAAGCUUUCACCAAGGAAUGUACAACUGGACAUGAUUUUAAGUUUGUAAUAUUGCCUACUAAUACAAUAAUGAUAAAUAUCAGAUUUUUGACAAACUUAGUUCUUUCGUAGUGUCAUCAAAUGUAGGUUAUCUAAGAUAAAUUAAUAUCAUAUACUUUAUUCGAGUAAAUUAGAGGGUUUUUCUGUGUUACUACUCUGAAACAAGUAUGGAUGUGCAAUGCGAACUCCUUUCACAGUCCUUUCAAGUAUGGAGUUUACUUUGGGUUUUAGCAUUUCUCUUCAGAUUUUAUGUUAUGGGGAGAGAGAGAGAGAGAGAGAGAGAGAGAGAGAGAGAGAGAGAGAGAGCACACACACACACACACACACACACACACACACACACACAAAAGAGAACUUGAUCAUCGGGAAUACUGGAGGCCGUUUAUUGCAGCCAUGACCAUCUUUUCUGCCAUCACCAAGGUAUCCGUGCGGACAUGAACAUUUAUAACUACCUGGAGUAUUAGUGCAAAUCCCUCUUGGAUCACAUGGAUUUUGAUUGCAUUCGUUGAUAUCUGACAUAUAAACAAGGAUAAUAAUCUCAUUAGGGUCUGAAAAUCGUGUGGAGCAAUUUUUUCAUUUUCUGAUUAAUUAUGGUGCAAAAACUUGGGUCUGACCUCUGCAGCCUGGAUGAAGAUAUGGAUUGCCCUCAUAACCCUGAAAGCAAGUGCAGCGGUAUCCUUGAAGACCAUUAUCAGGAUCAAUGCAUCUGCUAUUCUGUUGACAACUAACAUUGUUGGAUUUGUGAGAUUCAGUACAAUUUUGGGUCCCCAUCACCCAGUCCAAGAGUACAGGGACAUUCUCUAUGGUUCUGUUUAAAAAUGUCAAAUCAGACAGGUUCGCUUUAUGAAACGUAAAGCUGUCCUGCUCUCCAAGAAAGGCGUGACCACAACCAGCAUAGGACCAGACCUUAGUGUGAUUAUUAAUGCUGGUCAUUGUAAUUAUAAAUUUCUGCAGGCCCUUUGGUAUGGAGGUUUGGCAGCAACCCGUCCCUGAACAAUCCCCAUCGAUGACACUUUCCUUUGACGAACAGAUGGCAACACAUCCACUGGUGAAGUUACGCCCCGCCAUUCCUGAUAUUACUGCUACCUCGUCACAUCCAACAACCGUGAAUUUAUUCGUUUCAGAGAAGCCAAAAUUUUGUGGUAAAUAAAUAUAAGCUGGGGAAUACUCUGUCAAGUUGCCUAGUUGAUUAUAGCAUCUUUCAGCCACCCAAUUCUUGAUGCGCAUAUGAGAAUCUGAUAUAUCAGUAACUUCGAGAUUUCCAUCGCCCAGAUAUGGCCUGGGCGGAUUAAAAGAAGUGUUGCAGUUGAUUUCAAACGAUGGAUCUAUGGAACAACCAGUGCCUAAGCCAAUGCCGAAAGGGUAAGGAACUGUUAGAUUUCCACAUUUGCUGGGACAUCUCGGCUUGGUUAUGUAUACCCCUUUCGUUAUGGUAGUGGGGCUUCGGGUUGUGUUGACAUAAUCAGAAGUUGCCAAUGCCAACAGAAGCCACAAGAGAAGGAAUAGAACAUAAUGUAGAAGCAUGUUUAGUUUGAAAUUCGACUGAGUUCUCGUGUCGGACUUCAUGUUCGUUCAUGGCCUUAAAUGAGUACAAAGUUGUGAGCUCACCUCAAGGCUCAAACAGUAACUGAUAGAAAAAGACCUGAUAAAGGCAAAUGACGUUAUAAAGAUUGAAAUGAUCCAACUACCAGUAGAUUUGGGAGUAUCAACAUUAUAGAAAACUAAAUGUCAUAUUCACUUUUGUUAAUUACUUUAUUUAUUGAAGACAUCCUAGUCAAAUUACAUGACGGAUGUGUAUGGAAUAUUAAUUUAAUACUCAUUGGUUCUAUAAAAAAAAUUACUUUAAAAAAAAAAAAAAAAACUCCCAGCAAGGACUAUAUUUUUUCUUUAAUGUUGUUUUGGUACUAAUAAAUCUAAGCCUCAGUCUGAUUCCACUAAAAAAGGGAUUAAGGGCCUGUUUGGGCCCGAUUUUUUCACUCAAAAAAUUAAUUUUUUGAUCGUUAUUUCACUAUCUCAGCCGUCAUAUUUGACUUCUUCUUUUAUAGGUGGACCCCACUUUUCUCCUAACGGUCAAAAAAUCAAUUUUCAAAAUCACUCCCAAACAGGCUCUAAAAUUUAAGUAAAAGUUAAUAAUCAAUUUUAACCAUACAUUUCGUGAGAUCCACAACUUUUAAACGACGCAUUUCAUCAAUUAUAAUUAAAACCUGUUAAAUUUUUUUUUUUUUUUAAUCAAAAUCAAACAGAGGCUAAAUUAAGUUGAGUGUUGUACAUUCUAAAUUUUAAGAGGAGUGCUAUACAUUCAAGGCUAGGUGGGGGGCCUGUCCCUAAAGAGGACCCCACUAUCCGUCUAGAGCUCUAGACAAGUAGUCUUUUCCAAAUUAUAAAACAAGCUAAAAGAGCAUAGCCCGGUAAUCUACAUGGUCAGAUGUCCAGCAUGAAGUGGUAAAUUUACUGUUGGAACAAUUUCUAUACAUAAUUUGAUAGGGUAGAACAUUUAUGAUUCCCAAACUUUGCGUCAUAUGUGAACUACGUCCUUAAACUUUUAUAUGGAGUUCGUUAAGCUUCAUCAUACAAGGCUUCAAUCACUGGUCAUGUAGCAGUCAACUAAUAAACCACCUCAGGUUGCAAUCACAUCACUUGCUAAUCUGACCUAACCGAAGCCAUCGAAGAGGAAGUCGAAAGAGUGAGCUCACCUCAAACAGUAAACAAUAGAAAUGACCUGAUAAAGUCAAAUGUAGUUAUAAAUGUUGAAUUGAUCCAACUACCAAUCUUGAAACAAGAGAAAACAAGUUGAAUCCACUCUUCAUUUGUUUAUAAUGAAGAUAUUCUUAUCUCGGUUAAUUAUUUGAAUUUGAAUGUUUGAUGCACUUAUUUACCUUACACUUUGAGUUAAUGAUGCAAAAUGAUUGCCGUAAUUAUCAAAGUUUUGAAAGUCAUUUCGGAUCAAACAAUUAGACUGGAUACUCAUACGGUUGAAAGGCGACUCUCUAAAAGUCGAAUAAAAAUUCAGUCAAGAUUGUUGGUUUAUUCAGAAACCGAAUGAACUAGCCACAGAUUGACCAGUUUGGGAGGGGGCGGGAAUAAGAAUAAAAAGUAAAAAUUGAGAAGCAAUUCAGCCAAAACAUGUAAAACUAAUAAUUAUAUGCAAUUGUAACCAUAUAAGAUUGAAUGAAAUAAUGAAUUCAAUCAGUUCAACUAGAAAUAGUAUAUAACAGUUGAUAAAACGAGAAAUAUUUUUAUAUUUUCAUAUGUAGUUGAAGAUUUCAAUUGUCAACACAAAUAUGAGUUACAUGUUCAAAUGCAAAUUAAUUAUUGUCAUGGACAGCAUAUGGGUGGCAUCCAUUAAGUUUAAUCAAAGACAAAUUGUACUAAUUAAUAAUGCCUUUGUCCUAAUCAGAAGAUAAAAAUGAACCUAAUAUCACUCCUCAAUCUUUUCUAAUCUUAAAAUAGAACUAUCACUUGAGGAAAACCUCAUUUUUAUAACAUAUCAGACCUUCAACUUUCUGAGUUUCAUUUUAAGUUUCCAAUGGUAUGCAAACUUUACCGAUUUUAUUGUGUUAAGUCCAUUGAUGCAUAAAUAUUGCAUCUUUCUGUUGAAAAAAAAGGAGGAAAAAAAAGAAAAGGAAAAAAAAAACACAUCUUUAUAUUUCACUCGAUAAAGUUUUAAUUCUUAAUGCAUGUCACGUUUCACCCUGUAUUUAUUGUUUUACAGUAGUUUGUUUUAUCAAACUAAAAAUAGAGUGGUUUGAUUGGCUUAUAUUGUUGCCCUGUUCAAAAAUUGAUUGGUGAAACUUAUCUCAACGAGUUUCCUUCAUUCACAUAGUAUAUAAUCUCUUUCACAAAUCAAUUUCUGAUUUCAUAACUCAACAAAGUUGACCAUUUUUAAUAAGACAAUGAGUAUGCGUGGCACCAAAAAAUUAACAGAUAAUAAAAGCUUAUAACAUUUUGCAUAUUGACAUAAAAAGAAAAAGAAAAAGGAAGUUCUUAAUAAAAAGAGAUGAACUUAUUACAAGCAGAAUAAGAUGACAAAAGAUAAACUUCGAAAAAGUAUAAAGGAAAAAGUAAUUGUACGUCAUCUUAGGACCUUCUUACGUGUGAAGUUUGAAACUUUUCACCAUUUAGCGAGGAGUGUUGAUCGCAUGUAACAGGCAGCUGUCCAUAGUAUUUUGUUCUGAGAACUCCCCGGUAACGAACUCAGAAUUUAUUGACACUUGAUAUAGGUCAGGUUCCUCAGUUGUUAGCCCCAAAGCCACACUUCUUUGAGGAAUUUCUUGUUGAAUCCAUGUUUGAACAUUAUGCUUUCUGUACCUUUCCAACUCCAUUGCCACUUCUUUCAUUGUUGGCCUUUCUUCCCCAUUUAACUUGAGACAUCUUUCGACAAGCUUAGCCGCUGCAUGAAGUUGCUCGAAACUCCCUUCCCUCAGAACUCUUGGGUUGAGAAUUUUGUANNNNN